GUGCUGGCUUUGACAGUACACACACAAAAACUGGAACCAGACAGAGAAGACUGACAUGGCCCCUGGGCAAGGAUGACAUGCAAAUUCAUAAAGUGUUCCAUAUAUUU